rnacentral:rRNA from 1 species
UACGUAGGGCGCAAGCGUUGUCCGGAUUUAUUGGGCGUAAAGAGCUCGUAGGCGGUCUGUCACGUCGGAUGUGAAAACUCGGGGGCUCAACCCCGAGCCUGCAUACGAUACGGGCGGGCUAGAGUUCGGUAGGGGAGACUGGAAUUCCUGGUGUAGCGGUGAAAUGCGCAGAUAUCAGGAGGAACACCGGUGGCGAAGGCGGGUCUCUGGGCCGAUACUGACGCUGAGGAGCGAAAGCGUGGGGAGCGAACAGG